rnacentral:rRNA from 1 species
UGGGGAAUAUUGGACAAUGGGGGAAACCCUGAUCCAGCAAUGCCGCGUGAGUGAUGAAGGCCUUAGGGUUGUAAAGCUCUUUUACCGGGGAUGAUAAUGACAGUACCUGGAGAAUAGGCUCCGGCUAACUCCGUGCGAGCAGCCGCGGUAAUACGGAGGGAGCUAGCGUUGUUCGGAAUUACUGGGCGUAAAGCGCGCGUAGGCGGUUACUCAAGUCAGGGGUGAAAUCCCGGAGCUCAAGUCCGGAACUGCCCUUGAAACUAGGUGACUAGAAUCUUGGAGAGGCGAGUGGAAUUCCGAGUGUAGAGGUGAAAUUCGUAGAUAUUCGGAAGAACACCAGUGGCGAAGGCGGCUCACUGGUCCGGUACUGACGCUGAGGUGCGAAAGCGUGGGGAGCAAACAGGAUUAGAUACCCCGGUAGUCC